rnacentral:lncRNA from 1 species
GGGAGAAGAGUUUGAACUUGAGAGGGAGAUGCGUGAAGUUUUAAAGCGCUUGGGGCUUUGGAGCGGUGCGUGAGAGAGUUUGUUCAGAAGAGGUAGCGUAGAGUUUUAGAAGGGAGGAAAUUGAAGCUGGGAUAUCACGUGAAGAGUUUUUUGAAAGAGAGAGUUGUGUGAGAAUUAAUUUUAUGAAAGGUGGAGCCUGUGAAUUAAUGAUGGGAGGAGAGUUAAGGAAAAGAGGAUGCUCGGUGCAUGGAGGAAUUUAUGGAAGCAUGGGAAGAGUUUGAGUGGGGCCACUAGAACUUUGGAGCUGGCGUGAAGUGGGU